rnacentral:rRNA from 1 species
AGUGAACGCUGGCGGUAGGCCUAACACAUGCAAGUCGAACGGCAGCACAGUAAGAGCUUGCUCUUACGGGUGGCGAGUGGCGGACGGGUGAGGAAUACAUCGGAAUCUACUUUUUCGUGGGGGAUAACGUAGGGAAACUUACGCUAAUACCGCAUACGCCCUACGGGUGAAAGCAGGGGAUCUUCUGACCUUGCGCGAUUGAAUGAGCCGCUGUCGGAUUAGCUAGUUGGCGGGGUAAAGGCCCACCAAGGCGACGAUCCGUAGCUGGUCUGAGAGGAUGAUCAGCGACACUGGAACUGAGACACGGUCCAGACUCCUAAGGGAGGCAGCAGUGGGGAAUAUUGGACAAUGGGCGCAAGCCUGAUCCAGCCAUACCGCGUGGGUGAAGAAGGCCUUCGGGUUGUAAAGCCCGUUUGUUGGGAAAGAAAAGCAGCAGGUUAAUACCCCGCUGUUCUGACGGUACCCAAAGAAUAAGCACCGGCUAACUUCGUG